ACUUGUUAUUCUGAAAUUGCCACUCAGUGGGAAAGAAAGGAGCCUUCAGUGAGUUUACCAGCAUCCACAUUUGUGUCACUGAAGUGGCAGCCGUGACCUGCCUGAGUGACCAGUGUGUACAGCUGGCAAUUAGUUGCCAACCUAACACAAAGCGCACUGUGCGUGCAGUCCAUGCCUCUCUUUCUCUUCUAGGCUGACUGGCUGGCUCGUAGUCUCUUCUUAUCUGACCGGAGCAUGGAAAAUCCUGUCUUCCUGUUCCCAGAGCAAGCUGGGAUGAGCUCUCCUGCACAGACAGCAUUUAAUUUGUGAUGGUUGAUGAGGUUAGUCACCUUGCUCUUUACCGCUGUGUUCUCCUGGCCGGACUUUCUUUCUGCUGGUGACUUGUCAUCUGGGGCUGAUGGAGAGGGAUCCGGGAAGAACAGAAGAGAGAUGCUCACGUCUGCCUGGGUGGUGCUGCCAUUGCCCUUUCCUGCUCAUCCUCUGGUUGGCCCUUGGUUGACAGCUGCUGCUACACCCCCACCCUCCCACCCCCUGAGCCCCCCAGCUGGAACGGAGGAAAGAUUAGCUCUCCUUGCAUCUCAUGCCAGGGCUGUGUGGUGGAUUAGGCUGGCAGAGAGACCUGAAUAGCUUCAUCUUCUGGAGCAGGAGAAUCUUCUUCAAGGUCACCCUGUAAUGUACACGUGCUUGUGAAGUGCUCAGGGAAGCCACCUUCCAGGUCCACUCAGAUCUCAGUUUGACACCAAUACCCUAGGUUCUGACUUAUACGAGUGAUUCCCCAAACCUUUCUAGUAUUGACACUGCUUCUUAUGUCAAACAUUUUGCAGAACACACCCCUUGUCAAUUCCCCCACAAUAAAAUUUUAUGUUAUUAUUAAUCCUUGUAAUACAAAUGUUGUAGGGAAAUUCAUAGUGGCAAAC
rnacentral:lncRNA from 10 species